ACCCCGCGGGGCGCGAUCCGCCCCCCUCGCUCGGGCCCCGGCCCCGCGCCGCGCGCUCUUCACUUCUUGGGGGCUUUUUAAAACAGCGCCACUGGGGUCUUCUCCAUGCGGCUCGGGCUAUGACAGCCUCCGUGCUCCUCCACCCCCGCUGGAUCGAGCCCACCGUCAUGUUUCUCUACGACAACGGCGGUGGCUUGGUGGCCGACGAACUCAACAAGAACAUGGAAGGGGCGGCGGCGGCGGCGGCAGCGGCGGCGGCGGCGGCGGCGGCCGGGGCCGGGGGCGGGGGCUUCCCCCACCCGGCGGCCGCGGCCGCGGGGGGCAACUUCUCGGUGGCGGCGGCGGCCGCAGCGGCGGCGGCGGCCGCAGCCAACCAGUGCCGCAACCUGAUGGCGCAUCCGGCGCCCCUGGCGCCCGGCGCCGCGGCCGCCUACAACAGCGCGCCCGGGGAGGCGCCCCCGUCGGCCGCCGCCGCCGCCGCCGCCGCCGCCGCCGCCGCUGCAGCGGCCGCGGCGGCGUCGUCCUCAGGAGGGCCCGGCCCCGCGGGCCCGGCGGGCGCCGAGGCAGCCAAGCAGUGCAGUCCCUGCUCGGCGGCGGCGCAGAGCUCGUCGGGGCCCGCGGCGCUGCCCUACGGCUAUUUCGGCAGCGGCUACUACCCGUGCGCCCGCAUGGGCCCGCACCCCAACGCCAUCAAGUCGUGCGCGCAGCCCGCCUCGGCCGCCGCGGCUGCCGCCGCCUUCGCGGACAAGUACAUGGAUACCGCCGGCCCGGCGGCCGAGGAGUUCAGCUCCCGCGCUAAGGAGUUCGCCUUCUACCACCAGGGCUACGCGCCCGGGCCUUACCACCACCAUCAGCCCGUGCCUGGCUACCUGGAUAUGCCGGUGGUGCCCGGCCUCGGGGGCCCCGGCGAGUCGCGCCACGAGCCCCUGGGUCUUCCCAUGGAAAGCUACCAGCCCUGGGCGCUGCCCAACGGCUGGAACGGCCAAAUGUACUGCCCCAAAGAGCAGGCGCAGCCUCCCCACCUCUGGAAGUCCACUCUGCCCGACGUGGUCUCUCAUCCCUCAGACGCCGGCUCCUACAGGCGGGGGAGAAAGAAGCGCGUCCCUUACACCAAGGUGCAAUUAAAAGAACUCGAGCGGGAAUAUGCUACAAACAAAUUCAUUACCAAGGACAAACGGAGGCGGAUAUCAGCCACGACAAAUCUCUCUGAGCGGCAGGUUACAAUCUGGUUCCAGAAUAGGAGGGUCAAAGAGAAAAAAGUCAUCAACAAACUGAAGACCACUAGUUAAUGGAUUAAAAAUGGAGCGAGAGGGCAACUUGAAGAAAUGCUUCAGAACUGGUUGCUUUGCCCAGAUAAUGAACAUAAUGCUUAAUAAUAAUAAUUGAAGAAUGGGAAAGAGAAAGAGAAAGACACUGGCAUUUUGCUUUCCUAAGGGGGAUCUCUUUCUCCUUGGUGGAAUCUACAACUCUUUUAAAACUUUAAGAAAAGGUAAAGACUUCCAGUCCUCCCGCCAACCCCACCAGACCGUUAAAUGACAAACUCUAGAGUCAAACGUCAACCCCCAAAUAUGCAAUUUCAGAUAAGUUACACAUUUACUGAAAUCUUGUAAGUAUUUAUGUGACCAUAAUAUUUCAGGAUACUGUGUUAUAUGGUAAUAAUCCAAAAGUUGGUUACAAAAGCAAGAGGCUGUUGUAAACAUCUGUUUGUCCUUGGGUCGCCAUUGCCAUCCCCUCUGCAUGUUAAGUGACUGCUCAGGUAAAUCUUAGUGAAAUUCCUACCAUUGUUGUAUAUUCUGCAAAACAUCUUAUGUAUAGAUUUAGAAAGGGAGAGAGAAGAAGGUACUGAAAUAAUGAUCUUGGGCAAUUUACAAUGAAGAAAGAGAGAGAAAGCUUUUCCAAGGAUCAUUUGUCUUGGUAGUAAAUACAACCAGCUGAGCCUUUGAGGCUACAAGGAAACCCCAGGUUGGGAAUGUCCUUCUGACAAUAAUUUUAAAUUGCUUAUAACAAACAUAUUUUGUGGCAUUUGGAUUACAUUUUCUGCUUGAUAUAAUUUACUUUCCAAAGAAUUUAAUAAUUUUUAAAAAAUAUUUAAAGCAUCAGAUGUUUCAUAGAAUUCCCUUUAUCAGAUCUCCUGAGAGGUCCACCCCGACAUGGUGAACUUUGGUUUGAAGAGAAUUCAUGUUUCAUUUAAAUUGGUAUUUCCAAAUAUUUACUAAACAUUUUGCUAGAGAGUAAUUUUGCUUUUUUAUUUUUUAGAAAACUCAGAGCGGAAAUCCAUUCCCCCCGAAACAUUUAGAUGUUUACAUUCUAUAUUUUGAUCUAUUAGGGAUUAGUAUUUUUUCCUUGUUUAUUGUGUUAUAAGACUGCAUAAGGAAGUUUAGGGAUUCAUCUUUAUAGCACAUUUUUAAUCAAGCAGUUAUUUCAACCAGCACAUUCAUUUUGUUCACAUUCACUAUAAAAUGCUAUCUUGUAAAUAAAGACAUUCAGCACACUGUGAAAAUGUAUUUGUGCACCUGCUUUUCAAACAUUUCUACUAAAAAUAAUAAUUAAAAAGAACCUUAGACCUGUAGAUAGUGAUAUAGAAGUAUUAAUUAUGGUAAUAAAAUAGUCACUGCCAUUAAAAUCUGAAGGAAAUACUCAUUAUUUUCCAAGCUAAAUGUGCACUGCACAGAAAGAAAAGGAGCGGGUUUGUCCUAUACAAAUUAUUCUAUUAUUAUUCAGCCUUUUUUUUUUUCACUACAAAUUUUUUAAAUAAAAGGAGAAAUCCCUCAUAACUAAAAUCUUAAAAUUUGGAUAAAUGCUUCAGGAGAGUUAAAGUGUUAAGCAUUCUGAAAAGGAGAAAGAAGAAAGGAGGAAGGGAUAGUAUAAAUUCCCAGGCUCACUGUGGAAAAUGAAAACCAGUUGUUUAGUAUCAGUGAUGCCCGGGCUGUAGUAUUUUAAAAUCUGCUAUUGGAUCUGCAUGUGUCUGAAAGGGCAGGUUUUGAUAUUUGUUGAAAUGACAGGACUAGGAAAGGCCUUAAACCUUGACCUUGACGAAAAAAGACAAUUUGUGACCUUGACUUUUGACAGCUCAUGAAUUGGCCUCGGCUGGAUUAGUAGAUCAAGGGCGCCACCUCGCGUUGACAAGCUUCCUUGUAAUUCUUCAGCUUCAAGGGAAUCAAAAGGUCUUACCUCCUUGACUCCUUGUUUUAGAGAUUUAGUACUCAUUUCUUUGGCUCCAGAUGGAACAAAUUUGAAUAUAUAUGUAAGAAAUAUUCUGAGCUUCAGGCCUAGGAAGGAGGCCAACAGCAGCUCUGCAGCCGGAAUACCGCCCCUUCCACAACCCAUCGCAGGAACUCUGGGUAAAGUAGUAGUUUUCUUUUCUUUUCUUUUCUUUUUUUUUCCCCCCUCUCUUCAAUUUUUGAAACUAAUGACAGAAGACGUGUCAGGGUUUUUUUGUGGGUUUCCCCCCCCCCGUUCUAAAAUGGUAGUUGAUAAUGGCGAUCUUACCGAACUCCCCUCUUAUUUAAAAUUCCCAUGGAUCUACCAGAUAACCUGAGGCAAGCAUGGAUUAUGAGGGCUCCCUAAUGCCCAAAUAGCAAUUAGCCUAAACCUUUAGAAAAAAAGAUAUCCAGGAGGACUCCAGCCACCAUAUAAGAAUAAUAACACCGGACACCAGGAUAGUGUUGUUGAAUAGCUUAUUCAAUUUUUUUUUUCCUAAAAGGGAAACCUUUUCUGAACAAGACAUUGUAAAUAUGGAAACAGCUAGACACCGUUUUCAUCUACUAAAUUUGCAAAGAUUUUUAAUCCUGUAGUGGCCUACCAUUUUAAAAAUUGUAAAUGUGGGACUUUAAAAAAAAAAAAACACUUUUCCCAUAUGCUCUUAAUUCUGUCAAAUUUAUUAAGGUAUUUGAAGUGGAUGAUUGUAAAAUGUCACUUUGCAUUUAACUACUAUUUAUGCCUGAUGCAGAACUGAAGCCAUCCGCUUAAAUUGUUAAAAAAAAAAAAAAAGAAAGAAAGAAAGAAACGAUGAUUUUUAAAGAAAGGGAGGGAAGAAAAUUAUUCUUUUUUUAAAAAACUUAACCUAAUUGAAGUGUUUUCUUAAAAAUUCACGAGGCAGUGAAAUUCAGCUGAGGGUGAUACGCAUGUGUGCGGGUAGUCCGUGACACAGAUUUCACCGUAUAAUAUAUGUGCAGAUUACACCCCGCUGCGUGGGCUUGGAGGACUCGGUGAAGAUGCGGCGUCUCGCUUCCUCUCUACGAAUUCCGGAGAUUCGGAGCGGAGACGAUCGCUGUCCCGGACUGCUAAGCCCCAGACCUGGUGGGCUGAGAGGCGCCCUUCCGGAUUUGCGGACCUCUACGCGAGAGACGCUAGGGGCUUCCUGAUUUAUGCGCAUUCCUUUAAAGUUGAUCGAAUGCGUGUCAGCAGCCCAAGACCCGGAGAAUCAGAGAAAUGUGCAGCGAGUAGCUCACAUCCCAUUUUUCAUAAGCAGUGAUGUAGCGUUAUCCAAGCGGUCUGGGGAGAUUUAUGCCUAGGUUUUAGGACCCGCACACAAUAAUUAAGUUUUCAACUGCUAGGCCGCCGGGUAAAUAACAGCCGGCCUCACUCUUUAUGAAAACACCCGCUUUCUGAUCGGCUGCUUCGACCCUCGCCCAUCUACCUAGCGCCGCCGAAUGCCUGCGAGGUGUUCGCUAUUUUUGAUUUGAUUUUAAAGGGAAGAGAAAAGACGCCGGCACGGAAAAAUCCCUCCACCGAAGCAGCUAAGGCCUUGUCACAGCUGACUUCAUUUUUCCCCGGCUCCGUCGCGCCGCUGAAGGCUGGAUGCCCCGGGCAGAAAGCAUUACAACGGCCUCUCCGAGACGCUCGACCCUUCGCGGGCGGCGGUGCGCGGCGCGGGGCUCGCCCCGAGUGCGGGGCCGUGGACGAGCAGGAGAAGCGCGGCUGCGGACUCCGAGCGCCUGCUCCCCGGGGGGCAGAGGCGAGGCUCGAAAUCCUCCGUGCUUCUAAAGGAACCCUCUACUCAAAAUGGAGGCUCAAACCCUUCCAGAGCCGGCCUCGCUCGGAAGGCUUGCGUGUGGAAGGAGGAGCGCCGCAGAGCGCUUGGCCGAGGUCAAGGCGCCGGACCCCCAGGCCCGCGCCAGGCGGACUCUGGAGGGCCCGGCCGGGCACCCGCGCCGCGGAGUCGCCCCGCAGCUGCAGGCUGACGUCACGGUCGCCCGAGAGCGGGCCUUCGCGGGCCUCUCUAGGCGUUGAUGAGGACAAGCCGAUUCAAACGAAUGUUUUGUGCGGGUGCCCGCUUCUCCGCCCCGCCCCGCCCUCCCCAAGAGAAUAAUCGGGUAUUUAAUCUCUCCCGGUCUUAAUUCUUGGCAGCGUGGAAGGUGGUUUGCACGGGAAAUAAAACUUGACAGGAGCAUUUUCUCCAAAAGGGGUUCUGAGACGGGCUGAAAAGAAACCG